CCUACGGGAGGCAGCAGUGGGGAAUCUUGCGCAAUGGGCGAAAGCCUGACGCAGCAACGCCGCGUGCGGGAUGAAGGCCCUCGGGUUGUAAACCGCUUUCAGCAGGGACGAAGAUGACGGUACCUGCAGAAGAAGCCCCGGCCAACUACGUGCCAGCAGCCGCGGUAACACGUAGGGGGCGAGCGUUGUCCGGAUUUAUUGGGCGUAAAGAGCUCGUAGGCGGUUCCGUCAGUCGGGUGUGAAAACUCUGGGCUCAACCCAGAGACGCCACCCGAUACUGCGGUGACUAGAGUCCGGUAGGGGAGUGCGGAAUUCCUGGUGUAGCGGUGAAAUGCGCAGAUAUCAGGAGGAACACCAACGGCGAAGGCAGCACUCUGGGCCGGUACUGACGCUGAGGAGCGAAAGCGUGGGGAGCGAACAGGAUUAGAUACCCUGGUAGUCCACGCCGUAAACGUUGGGCACUAGGUGUGGGACCUUUCCAACGGGUUCCGUGCCGCAGCUAACGCAUUAAGUGCCCGCCUGGGGAGUACGGCCGCAAGGCUAAAACUCAAAGGAAUUGACGG
rnacentral:rRNA from 1 species